rnacentral:tRNA from 1 species
GGCUGGGGCUCAGAGGUAGGGCACUCGCCUGGCAUGUGUGAGGCACUGGGUUUGAUUCUCAGCACUCG